rnacentral:rRNA from 1 species
UACGUAGGGUGCGAGCGUUGUCCGGAAUUAUUGGGCGUAAAGAGCUUGUAGGCGGUUUGUCGCGUCUGCUGUGAAAAUCCGGGGCUCAACCCCGGACUUGCAGUGGGUACGGGCAGACUAGAGUGCGGUAGGGGAGACUGGAAUUCCUGGUGUAGCGGUGAAAUGCGCAGAUAUCAGGAGGAACACCGAUGGCGAAGGCAGGUCUCUGGGCCACUACUGACGCUGAGAAGCGAAAGCAUGGGGAGCGAACAGG